GUCCGGUGAGUAUUAGCGAUGACAGCAGCGACGACUCUAUAGCCAUCAUCGAAUAACGUUAUUUUUAAUUUUUUAAUAUUUAAAUUAAUAUUUAUUAGAUUUAGUUAAAUUAGAUUUAAUAUUUAUAUUAAAAUAAUAAUAUUUAAUUAGAUUUAGUUAAUUUAGAUUUAAAUUAAUAUUUAUUAGAUUUAGUAUUUAAAUUAAUAGUAUUUAUUGAUCGGGGAUGGAUUUUAUCCGUCUUUAACGAGUA
rnacentral:lncRNA from 1 species